rnacentral:rRNA from 1 species
GACGGAGGUGGCAAACGUUGCUCGGAAUCACUGGGCUUAAAGGGCGUGUAGGCGGUCGAUCAAGUCGGAUGUGAAAGCCCUCGGCUCAACCGAGGAAUCGCAUCUGAUACUGGUUGGCUAGAGUGCGGCAGGGGUAAGUGGAACUCCAGGUGUAGCGGUGAAAUGCGUAGAUAUCUGGAGGAACGCCGGUGGCGAAAGCGACUUACUGGGCCGCAACUGACGCUGAGGCGCGAAAGCCAGGGGAGCGAACGGGAUUAGAUACCCGCGUA